rnacentral:rRNA from 1 species
UACGAAGGGGGCUAGCGUUGUUCGGAAUUACUGGGCGUAAAGCGCACGUAGGCGGAUUGUUAAGUCGGGGGUGAAAUCCUGAGGCUCAACCUCAGAACUGCCUUCGAUACUGGCAAUCUCGAGUCCGGAAGAGGUUGGUGGAACAGCUAGUGUAGAGGUGAAAUUCGUAGAUAUUAGCUAGAACACCAACGGCGAAGGCAGCUCGCUGGGACGGAACUGACGCUAAGGCGCGAAAGCGUGGGGAGCGAACAGG